rnacentral:lncRNA from 1 species
CUCUAAUGCUAAAAACCUCCUCUUUGAAAUUAGGAGCAAGAUGAUGCUGCUGCGAUCCCCACUCUAUUCCACAUUAAACAGUAACUCCCCCUUAUCUGCUAGGGAUAUGUCAGACCUCCAUAGGUGCCUGAAACCAUAUAGUUUUGUUUUGUUUUGUUGAUACAGGGUCUCACUCUGUCACCCAGGCUGGAGUGCAGUGGUGUGAUCUGGGCUCACUGCAACCUCUGCCUCCCAGGUUCAAGUGAUUCUCGUGCCUCAGCCUCCAGAGUAGCUGGGACUAGAAGCGCCCGCCACCACACCUGGCUAAUUUUUAAAUUUUUAGUAGUGACAGAAUUUCACCAGGUUGGCCAGGCUGGUCUCAAACUCCUGGCUUCAAGCAGUCUGCCUGCCUUGGCCUCCCAAAGUGUUAGGAUUACAGGCAUGAGCCACCAUGCCUGGCCCUGAAACCAUAUAGUAUUGAACACUAUAUACACAGGCAUAUCUGGUUUCAUUGCACUUCACAGAUUAUAUUGUAUAUUGUAUCCAGAUCACUGCAUAUUUUACAAAUUGAAGGUUUGUGGCAACCCUGCAUUGAGAAAGUCUCUUGGUGCCAUUUUUCCAACAGUAAUGUGCUCACUUCAUGUCUUUGAGUCACAUUUUGGUAAUUCUCACAAUACUCAAAGGUUUUUCAUUAUUAUUACAUCUGUUACGGUGAUCUGUGAUCAGUGAACUUGAUGUUACUAUUGUAAUUGUUUGUUGGUGUCACAAUCCAUGCCCAUAUAAGGCUGAGAACUUAAUCGAUAAAUGUUGUGUGUUCUGACUGCUCUACCCACCAGCCAUUCCCCCAUCACUCUCCCUCUCCUUGGGCUUCACUAUUCCCAGAGACACAACAAUAUUGAAGUCAGGCCAAUUAAUAACCCUACAAUGGCCUCUGUUCAGGUGAAACAGAGUUGCACGCCUCUCACUUUAAAUCGAAAGCUAUAAAUGAUUGAGCUUAAUGAGAAAGGUAUGUUGAAAGCCAAGAUAGAAGGAAAGUUUAGGUCUCUUGUGCCAAACAGUUAGUCAAGUUGUGAGUGGAAAGGAAUAGUUCUUGAAGGAAAUUAAAAGCACCACUCCAGUAAACACACACGAUACAAAAGCUAAGCAGCCUUAUUGCUGAAAUGGAGAACAUUUGAGUGGUCAGGACAGAAGAUAAAACCAGCGACAAUAUUCCCUUAAGCCAAAGCCUACUAUAGAGCAAGGCCCUAACUCCUCAAUUCUAUAAAGACUGAGAGAGGUGAGGAAACUGCAGAAGAAAAGUUGAAAGCAAGCAAAGCCUGGUUCAUGAGGUUUAAGGAAAGAAGCCAUCUCCAUUAACUGAAAAGUGCAAGGUGAAGCAACAAAGGCUGGAGAAGCUGCAGCAAGUUAUCCAGAAAAUCUAGCUAAGAUCAAUGAUGAAGGUGGUUGCACUAAACAAUAGCUUUUCACUGUAGAUAAAACAGCGUUCUAUUGGCAGAAGAUGUCAUCUAGGACUUUCAUAGCUAUAAAGAAGCCAAUGCCUGGCUUCAAAACUUCAAAGGACAAGCUGACUCUCCUGUUAGCAGCUGGUGACCUGAAGCUGAAGCUAAUGCUCAUCUAUCAUUCAAAAAAUCCUUGGGCCCUUAAAAAAUACACUAUAUCUACUCUGCCUGUGCUCUGCAAAGCCUGGAUAACAGUACAUCUG